AGAGUUUGAUCCUGGCUUAGAACUAACGCUGGCAGUGCGUCUUAAGCAUGCAAGUCAAACGGGAUGUAGCAAUACAUCUAGUGGCGAACGGGUGAGUAACGCGUGGAUGAUCUACCUACGAGAUGGGGAUAACUAUUAGAAAUAGUAGCUAAUACCGAAUAAAGUCAAUUAAUUUGUUAAUUGAUGAAAGGAAGCCUUUAAAGCUUCGCUUGUAGAUGAGUCUGCGUCUUAUUAGCUAGUUGGUAGGGUAAAUGCCUACCAAGGCGAUGAUAAGUAACCGGCCUGAGAGGGUGAACGGUCACACUGGAACUGAGAUACGGUCCAGACUCCUACGGGAGGCAGCAGCUAAGAAUCUUCCGCAAUGGGCGAAAGCCUGACGGAGCGACACUGCGUGAAUGAAGAAGGUCGAAAGAUUGUAAAAUUCUUUUAUAAAUGAGGAAUAAGCUUUGUAGGAAAUGACGAAGUGAUGACGUUAAUUUAUGAAUAAGCCCCGGCUAAUUACGUGCCAGCAGCCGCGGUAAUACGUAAGGGGCGAGCGUUGUUCGGGAUUAUUG
rnacentral:rRNA from 1 species